UCGGGUAUGGUGUAACGGCUAACAUUGCCGCCUCUCACGGACACCAUGACAUGCUCCUGCCUUGCCCGAGACAGGAUAAUGCUGUGAUGUCGAUCGCGGCAGCUCGGGGUUCGAUUCCCCGUACCCGAA